CUGAGGGUCUGUAGUUGGGCCGUCCUGGCUGCCCCGAUGUCCUGACUACAUUCAAAGCGUGGUCACUUUUACUUCAGAGAAGAGCCAGAAGCCUCGCGGUGCCAGAUCCAGUGACUAAGGUGGAAGAGGACACAGCGUCGUGUUUUUCGAAGCUGCUUCUCUGUUGGAUGGCUCGGCAGCAGCAUUCUCCAUAUUUUUUAUCGCACCUGAUAAAGACACAAAAGAGGAGCCCAGAGCGGCUCAGAAAGUGGCAAGACGAUAGGAGAAGUGCUCAAAGAGAAGGGGAGGAAUUCACGGCAAUGUGCCUGUUAGUGUAACAAAAACCCUAAAAUACACCUUCGCCAGGCGUUUCUCUCGCCCGCGUGCCCCCUUCUAACUGGCGCUCUCUUCGCAGGGUCACGUCGCGGGACGCACCCCUUCCUCCGCCUUGUCCAGGCACUCCCAGGACCGGCUCUCCCGAACAGGCGCUGAAUACCCUGAGGUUCAAGAAGAAACAGAAAUUUUGACUGCAGAUAUGGACACAGAAAGAAAACGGAUAAAGUCACUGUUACCUAAAAUAUCCUGUGGAGUCAAAAGACCUGUGCACACUCGAAGGAAGCGAACUGUGUGGGAGGGAAGCCUGCACAAGCCGUAAACUUGGGUACAAAGUCAGGGACACUGCGUGAUGGGAUUCUGUGAGACCAGGAGGCUGACCAGGACCGGCUGCGGGCCACCUCUGCG
rnacentral:lncRNA from 1 species